rnacentral:pre_miRNA from 1 species
AGUGGGAUAACUGGGUCAAAUGGUGAUUCCAUUCCAGGUUUUCUAGGGAAUCUCCAUACUGUUCUCCAGGGUGGUUGCACCAAUUUGCAUUCCCACCAGCAGU